GGGUUGUGAGGUUAAGCGACUAAGCGUACACGGUGGAUGCCCUGGCAGUCAGAGGCGAUGAAGGACGUGCUAAUCUGCGAUAAGCGCCGGUAAGGUGAUAUGAACCGUUAUAACCGGCGAUUUCCGAAUGGGGAAACCCAGUGUGACUCGUCACACUAUCAUUAACUGAAUCCAUAGGUUAAUGAGGCGAACCGGGGGAACUGAAACAUCUAAGUACCCCGAGGAAAAGAAAUCAACCGAGAUUCCCCCAGUAGCGGCGAGCGAACGGGGAGGAGCCCAGAGCCUGAAUCAGCAUGUGUGUUAGUGGAAGCGUCUGGAAAGGCGCGCGAUACAGGGUGACAGCCCCGUACACAAAAGCGCAUGUGCUGUGAGCUCGAUGAGUAGGGCGGGACACGUGGUAUCCUGUCUGAAUAUGGGGGGACCAUCCUCCAAGGCUAAAUACUCCUGACUGACCGAUAGUGAACCAGUACCGUGAGGGAAAGGCGAAAAGAACCCCGGCGAGGGGAGUGAAAAAGAACCUGAAACCGUGUACGUACAAGCAGUGGGAGCACCCUUUGGGGUGUGACUGCGUACCUUUUGUAUAAUGGGUCAGCGACUUAUAUUCUGUAGCAAGGUUAACCGUAUAGGGGAGCCGGAGGGAAACCGAGUCUUAAUUGGGCGUUAAGUUGCAGGGUAUAGACCCGAAACCCGGUGAUCUAGCCAUGGGCAGGUUGAAGGUUGGGUAACACUAACUGGAGGACCGAACCGACUAAUGUUGAAAAAUUAGCGGAUGACCUGUGGCUGGGGGUGAAAGGCCAAUCAAACCGGGAGAUAGCUGGUUCUCCCCGAAAGCUAUUUAGGUAGCGCCUCGUGAAUUCAUCUCCGGGGGUAGAGCACUGUUUCGGCUAGGGGGCCAUCCCGGCUUACCAACCCGAUGCAAACUGCGAAUACCGGAGAAUGUUAUCACGGGAGACACACGGCGGGUGCUAACGUCCGUCGUGAAGAGGGAAACAACCCAGACCGCCAGCUAAGGUCCCAAAGUCAUGGUUAAGUGGGAAACGAUGUGGGAAGGCCCAGACAGCCAGGAUGUUGGCUUAGAAGCAGCCAUCAUUUAAAGAAAGCGUAAUAGCUCACUGGUCGAGUCGGCCUGCGCGGAAGAUGUAACGGGGCUAAACCAUG
rnacentral:rRNA from 1 species